UACAUAGGGUGCAAGCGUUAAUCGGAAUUACUGGGCGUAAAGCGUGCGCAGGCGGCUAUGCAAGACAGAUGUGAAAUCCCCGGGCUCAACCUGGGAACUGCAUUUGUGACUGCAUGGCUAGAGUACGGUAGAGGGGGAUGGAAUUCCGCGUGUAGCAGUGAAAUGCGUAGAUAUGCGGAGGAACACCGAUGGCGAAGGCAAUCCCCUGGGCCUGCACUGACGCUCAUGCACGAAAGCGUGGGGAGCAAACAGG
rnacentral:rRNA from 1 species